rnacentral:rRNA from 1 species
AUUGACGUGAGUGGCGGACGGGUGAGUAACACGUGGGUAACCUGCCCUUAAGCGGGGGAUAACAUUUGGAAACAGAUGCUAAUACCGCAUAAAAGUUGAGAUCACAUGGUCUUAAUUUGAAAGACGGCCUUUGGCUGUCACUUAAGGAUGGACCCGCGGCGUAUUAGCUAGUUGGUGAGAUAAUAGCCCACCAAGGCGAUGAUACGUAGCCGACCUGAGAGGGUAAUCGGCCACAUUGGGACUGAGACACGGCCCAAACUCCUACGGGAGGCAGCAGUAGGGAAUCUUCCACAAUGGACGAAAGUCUGAUGGAGCAACGCCGCGUGAGUGAAGAAGGUUUUCGGAUCGUAAAACUCUGUUGUUGGAGAAGAACAGGGACUAGAGUAACUGUUAGUCCUUUGACGGUAUCCAACCAGAAAGCCACGGCUAACUACGUGCCAGCAGCCGCGGUAAUACGUAGGUGGCAAGCGUUGUCCGGAUUUAUUGGGCGUAAAGCGAGCGCAGGCGGUUUCUUAAGUCUGAUGUGAAAGCCUUCGGCUUAACCGAAGAAGUGCAUCAGAUACUGGGAAACUUGAGUGCAGAAGAGGAAAGUGGAACUCCAUGUGUAGCGGUGAAAUGCGUAGAUAUAUGGAAGAACACCAGUGGCGAAGGCGGCUUUCUGGUCUGUAACUGACGCUGAGGCUCGAAAGUAUGGGGAGCGAACAGGAUUAGAUACCCUGGUAGUCCAUACCGUAAACGAUGAAUGCUAAGUGUUGGAGGGUUUCCGCCCUUCAGUGCUGCAGCUAACGCAUUAAGCAUUCCGCCUGGGGAGUACGACCGCAAGGUUGAAACUCAAAGGAAUUGACGGGGGCCCGCACAAGCGGUGGAGCAUGUGGUUUAAUUCGAAGCUACGCGAAGAACCUUACCAGGUCUUGACAUCUAGCGCCAAUCCUAGAGAUAGGACGUUCCCUUCGGGGACGCUAAGACAGGUGGUGCAUGGUUGUCGUCAGCUCGUGUCGCGAGAUGUUGGGUUAAGUCCCGCAACGAGCGCAACCCUUAUGAUUAGUUGCCAGCAUUAAAGGGGGCACUCUAAUCAGACUGCCGGUGACAAAC